UAACGCGUGAGGAACCUGCCUUCCAGAGGGGACAACAGUUGGAAACGACUGCUAAUACCGCAUGACACAUGACCGUGGCAUCACGGACAUGUCAAAGAUUUAUCGCUGGAAGAUGGCCUCGCGUCUGAUUAGCUAGUAGGCGGGGUAACGGCCCACCUAGGCGACGAUCAGUAGCCGGACUGAGAGGUCGACCGGCCACAUUGGGACUGAGAUACGGCCCAGACUCCUACGGAAGGCAGCAG
rnacentral:rRNA from 1 species